AAAUUCCACGACACCCCACGAACCCGACACCACAAUUGAAUAACUCUAUAAAUUAUAGAAGAUAUGAUGCUAAAACGAGUAACAAGAAAAAGACCUUUCUCCAAAAUAUAAGUGUAUGUCAAAACGAACCCAUCAUUGACACCUAACGCCCCUGAGCCCAAGAUAAUAACCCACCAAGAAAACCUUAUCACACAAUGACGUUAACCUAACACAAGAAUAUUUCUGGAAAGAUUAAAAGAGGGAGAAGGAACUCGGCAAAUCUAAGCCCCGCCUGUUUACCAAAAACAUCGCCUCUUGAACAGAUAUAAGAGGUCCAGCCUGCCCGGUGAUACAAUUUAACGGCCGCGGUAUACUGACCGUGCGAAGGUAGCAUAAUCACUUGUUCUUUAAAUGAGGACUAGUAUGAACGGCACCACGAGGGCUUUACUGUCUCCUCCCUUCAAUCAGUGAAACUGACCUCCCUGUGAAGAGGCAGGGAUACUACUAUAAGACGAGAAGACCCCAUGGAGCUUUAAACCCAACAACAGCCCAAACACCACCACCCCUAAAAGUUUUAACGGUAUUGCUAGUUGGUUUUAGGUUGGGGUGACCGCGGAGUAUAAACUAUCCUCCACGACGAACGGGCCUACCCCCUUACCCAAGAGCUACACCUCUAAGGAUUAACACAUUAACGUAAAAUGAUCCAAAUAUUUGAUCAACGAACCAAGUUACCCUGGGGAUAACAGCGCAAUCCAUUUUUAGAGCCCCUAUCGACAAAUGGGUUUACGACCUCGAUGUUGGAUCAGGGUAUCCAGGAGGUGCAGC
rnacentral:rRNA from 1 species